UACGUAGGGUGCAAGCGUUGUCCGGAAUUAUUGGGCGUAAAGAGCUCGUAGGCGGUUUGUCGCGUCGGGAGUGAAAACCUCGGGCUUAACUCGGGGCUUGCUUUCGAUACGGGCAGACUAGAGUGGCGGUAGGGGAGAUUGGAAUUCCUGGUGUAGCGGUGGAAUGCGCAGAUAUCAGGAGGAACACCAAUGGCGAAGGCAGAUCUCUGGGCCGUAACUGACGCUGAGGAGCGAAAGCAUGGGGAGCGAACAGG
rnacentral:rRNA from 1 species